rnacentral:lncRNA from 1 species
GGUUGUGAAGUAAUACAAUUUUGGGGAAAUGCUUUUCAUCGAUUUUUCUUUUUUUCUUUAUUAAUUGCCUUGAAUCAAGAUUUCUUGUGGUGUAUCUUGUUGCGUUGUUCUGCAUUGGCGAUUUUAGUGCGGAAUUUUAUCAAGGCGUUGAAGACCCAUUGGUGGCCUUUUGCUGUUUUCUGCUCUUUGCCAGUGUUGUUGUCUCUUUGAUAUAUUCCCCAUUACUAUUCUCAAUUUUCUUUUUAAAAAUAUAAUUUUUCUUUAAUGACGUCAUGUAUUUUUUUGUAAAAACUAAAGAAGACAGAGAGAUUAC